rnacentral:tRNA from 2 species
GGGCGGUUAGCUCAGUUGGUUAGAGCAACUGGUUUACACCCAGUAGGUCGAGGGUUCGAGUCCCCCACCGCCCACCA